rnacentral:rRNA from 1 species
UAGGGAAUCUUCGGCAAUGGGGGGAACCCUGACCGAGCAACGCCGCGUGAGUGAAGAAGGUUUUCGGAUCGUAAAGCUCUGUUGUUAAGGAAGAACGAGUGUGAGAAUGGAAAGUUCAUGCUGUGACGGUACUUAACCAGAAAGGGACGGCUAACUACGUGCCAGCAGCCGCGGUAAUACGUAGGUCCCGAGCGUUGUCCGGAUUUAUUGGGCGUAAAGCGAGCGCAGGCGGUUAGAAAAGUCUGAAGUGAAAGGCAGUGGCUCAACCAUUGUAGGCUUUGGAAACUGUUUAAAUUGAGUGCAGAAGGGGAGAGUGGAAUUCCAUGUGUAGCGGUGAAAUGCGUAGAUAUAUGGAGGAACACCGGUGGCGAAAGCGGCUCUCUGGUCUGUAACUGACGCGGAGGCUCGAAAGCGUGGGGAGCGAACAGG